rnacentral:lncRNA from 1 species
ACGGAAGCUAAAAGAGAUGAAGAAAUUUGCUUGAGCCGAACCAAGGAGAGAACACUCACUCUUGCCACCUUCUGAUGUGGACAGUGGAUGAAGAAGAACCUCCCAAAUAUGUAAAGUCAAAGCUGCAGGGGGCAAUGGACGAAGAAAAUACUCACUGAGAGCAGAACAAGAGGCUGGUUAACCCAAACAACUAAUACAUCAGCAGGAUGGAGAGUAUUCACCAUUUCUACCCAGGAGAAUUUGAGAUUUACUGUGAGCCAGAAACAGCUGGGUGCUUUUCAGUUUUUAUGUUUCUGAAUGGGAGUUUUUGUUGCAGUUAUCCUGUCCCUACUCCACCAUUAUAUAUCAGGACAAAGGAAGAUAUGUAACUUGUAAGUUUGUAAGUUGAUGCCAGAGCACAAGGAGCCACUUCCAGACCUGAAAGAGAAGACUAUAUUUCACUCCAGUCCUGGAUUUUCAGCUGCAGCAGUAACUGAAUAAGAUUUUAUGUGGGCCCCCUUGAAGAGGAUUUGAGUGUAUUUAUGAAGAAAGAUGAGGGUGCAUGGACACCUGGGUUGUUAGAAGGGCAAACUGACAGACUGAUACCUAUCCAUUGUUAUUAAUUAUCCCCUAGUCCACUUACUAAUAGAACCCCACGAGUCUUAUCGGAACACAGAACUGCUCAGCUAGAUGCAACAUUUUGCAACCUACUCAGAGGAGAAUACAAGUUUGAGAUGGAUGAGUAAUCUGCUGAAGAUCACUGAAUGAAUGUGCAAGGAAACCAUAACAUAAAUCCAUGUCUCUUUCUACUACUCAAUUUUUUCCUGUUACUAAUAUCAUUUUUAAAAAUAAUAUUUAUGGGGUUACAAUUUAUGUUUAAUAAGCUUUACCCAUUUUACCACGUUAUGACCCAACAAGAAAGCCUUCACCAGAUGCGGCCACUUGAUGUUGAACUUCCCAGCCUCUAGAACCACAAGGUCAGCAUAAUAUUUUUCAAACUCAUGCAUGCUCCUGCAUAUAUCAAUAGCUCAUUUGUUUUUAUUGCUGAGUAUUAUUCCAUGGAAUGAAAAUGACAUGACAUCUGUUCAUCCAUUCACUUGUUAAUAGACAUUUAAUUUGCUUCUAAGUUUUGGCUAGAAUAAAUACAAUUUUUAUGAAUAUGCAUGUGCAAGCCUUUGUGUGAACAGUUAUCUUCAUUUAUCUUGGGUAAAUAUCCAGGAGUGCAAUUGCUAAGCCAUUUGGUUCAUAAAAAUUUACUUCAAUAAGACACUGAUAAAUUCUAUUUCAAAGUAGUUGUACCCUUUAAAAUCUUCACCAGAAGUGUAUGAGAGUUCCAUUUGCUCUACAACCUUGCCAAUUUUUUUAGCGUGAGUUUUUUUUAGCAGUUCUAAUAAGUAUUUAUAAUGCUGAACAUCUUUUUCAUAUGUUUAUGGCUAUGUCACUUAUAUAGCUUCUUUUGUAAAAUAUCUGUUCAAAUUUUUCUCCUCUUUAUUGCUUUGGUUAAAAAAUCUUCUUAUUGCAGUGUGUCUGUUUUACAUUUAUAUAUUUUGGAUUCAAGUUUUUUUUUUCAAAUACAUGCAUAACAAAUUUUUUUCACAUUCUGUGUCUUGUUUUUUCAUUUUCCUAAUGAUGUCUUUUUAAAAGAGUGUAAUGUUUGUAAAUCCCAAUUAAUUAAUAUAUUUAAUAGUUAUGUUUCUCUGUUCUAUUUAAGAAAUAUUUGCCUAUACCAGGAUUGUAAAAAUCUUUUUUAUUCUAGAAAUUCUAUAAUUUUAGCAUAUAUACUUAGGUCUAUGAUUCAUGUCAAAUCUAUUUUUAUGUAUGGCAUGGGACGAUUAAUAGAUAUUCAUUUUCUUCCAGAUAGAAUCCUGUUGUUCUAGCAAUAUUUGCUUAAAAGUAAUUUGUUGAAAAUCAGUUGACCAUAUACAUGUGCGGCUAUUCCUAGGCUUUUUAUUCUGUUGCAAAAAAAUUACCUGAAAAUGUCCCAAAUUUCUUGAAAAACAUUUAUUGCAUUAACUACAUCUUCUUCCACCUCCAUUCCACUGUUAAGUUCAUCCAAUAAAUUUGUUGUUACACCUAACA